rnacentral:rRNA from 1 species
UACGAAGGGGGCUAGCGUUGCUCGGAAUCACUGGGCGUAAAGCGUAUGCAGGCGGAUCGUUAAGUCGGGGGUGAAAUCCCGAGGCUCAACCUCGGAACUGCCUUCGAUACUGGCGACCUUCGAGUCCGGGAGAGGUGAGUGGAACUCCGAGUGUAGAGGUGAAAUUCGUAGAUAUUCGGAAGAACACCAGUGGCGAAGGCGGCUCACUGGCCCGGUACUGACGCUGAGAUACGAAAGCGUGGGGAGCAAACAGG